CUGCUAACUGUCUGCUUUAGGUUAGCCUCUCAGAGAGGGGAAGAGUGCCCCACGAAGUUACUGGAAAUAACUCUAGCCACAAUCGUCCAGUUUUUCUCAGAACUUUUGAGUCCCCUGAACUGUGGAGAGGCUACAAAGUUUGGAGGGCACCGGAAUUCACUGGCUAGAUGGAUCAAAAUUGUUCCUUUUUUUUUUUUUUUGCUUUGGGACAAUUUAUAUCAAAGG
rnacentral:lncRNA from 1 species